AUUGAACGCUGGCGGCAUGCCUUACACAUGCAAGUCGAACGGUAACAGGUCUUCGGAUGCUGACGAGUGGCGAACGGGUGAGUAAUACAUCGGAACGUGCCCGAGAGUGGGGGAUAACGAGGCGAAAGCUUUGCUAAUACCGCAUACGAUCUUAGGAUGAAAGCAGGGGACCGCAAGGCCUUGCGCUCACGGAGCGGCCGAUGGCAGAUUAGGUAGUUGGUGGGAUAAAAGCUUACCAAGCCGACGAUCUGUAGCUGGUCUGAGAGGACGACCAGCCACACUGGGACUGAGACACGGCCCAGACUCCUACGGGAGGCAGCAGUGGGGAAUUUUGGACAAUGGGCGCAAGCCUGAUCCAGCCAUGCCGCGUGCAGGAUGAAGGCCUUCGGGUUGUAAACUGCUUUUGUACGGAACGAAAAGACUCUGGUUAAUACCUGGGGUCCAUGACGGUACCGUAAGAAUAAGCACCGGCUAACUACGUGCCAGCAGCCGCGGUAACAC
rnacentral:rRNA from 1 species